CCCUGUUCACCAAGAAAUGAUUAAAUCUGGUCUAUGUAUGUGUGACUGACAAUGAGACAGUUCUCCAUCCAAGUCAUAAUCAGUUUGGGGACAACCCCUUAAUGUUAUAAAUAUCCCUUUUUCAUGUUUUAUGAGGGAUCAAUAUAAGUUAUAAUAUAUUUGUUUGUACAAAAGGGCUCAUAUUUUCUCAAAGAACUAUAUAUCUAUCUGGUAUUAAAUG
rnacentral:lncRNA from 1 species